UGUGCUAGGUUAGCCCCUACGUAGGGAAAGCUAGCAUAAAAAUUUAGUGCUAGAUUCUAAAGCAAAAAUGGCGGAAAAAAUCGAGAUGUUACUUAAAUGAGAAUGAUUUUAGCUUAUAUGAACGAUAAUAAUUGGAACAAGUAAAAUCUUUCCGGAAUACGUCACCGCGAUUGGUUUAUUCUACUACUAGAAGUUGUUUACGGGAUUCGAAAAGGCGAGACAAGAAGAACCACUGUGAGUUUGUUACAACUAACUUUGGGCUGCGUUCUCAAACACACACACUUUAAGUCAUAAGGCAGUUGGAUUUGGCACUGGUAGAGGUUGAAAUCAUGUUUCUGAAGAAUGAGUUAUGAUGGAAGUGAUACAAUGAUGGGACAUUUAACAUCAUACCAGAAUUAAAGAGUCAAUAUAAAGAUUCUUGAAUGAUCAACUUCCAUUGGGGAUGAAGGAUGAAUGAGAAAUCUGUAAAUGAUAUUUUGAUUCAAAUUAAGUUAUAUUUUAUAUAUAAUGAUUCAGAAACAUGCUUGCUACCCAAUCUCGCCUGUAUUAAAAAUUAUGCAUGUUGCAUAA